rnacentral:rRNA from 1 species
CCUACGGGAGGCAGCAGUAAGGAAUAUUGGUCAAUGGGGGCAACCCUGAACCAGCCAUGCCGCGUGCAGGAAGACGGCCUACGGGUUGUAAACUGCUUUUAUACGGGAAUAUGUACUGUAAGAAUAAGGAUCGGCUAACUCCGUGCCAGCAGCCGCGGUAAUACGGAGGAUCCAAGCGUUAUCCGGAUUUAUUGGGUUUAAAGGGUGCGUAGGCGGCUUUUUAAGUCAGGGGUGAAAGACGGUGGCUCAACCAUCGCAGUGCCUUUGAUACUGAAGAGCUAGAUUACACUAGAGGUAGGCGGAAUGUGACAAGUAGCGGUGAAAUGCAUAGAUAUGUCACAGAACACCGAUUGCGAAGGCAGCUUACUAUGGUGUAAUGACGCUGAGGCACGAAAGCGUGGGGAUCAAACAGGAUUAGAUACCCUUGUAGUC